GUUUUUACAGAGGGAAUAACUUCUAUUAAUCUAUGUUCCCUAAGAAAAUUUUAACAUCAACUCAGGGCUUGCUGGAGUAGUCAACUCAGUUUCAUUACACAGAUGUGGAGUCAUUGUAACUUAGAUUUGAGUCAAUUCAAGUCACUGUUUCAAUGACGAGCAACUUGACUUGAAAAUAAGUCACUUAGGACUUGAGGUACACUUGGAAGCUAAAGCCUUGUAACCUGACUUGACUGUGAAGAUUCAAAUGACUUUUUGAGAGCUUUACUGACAUUUAGCACAGCUAGAUGCAGUCAGGAAUGUAUAUAUAGAUUAACAACGAACAUACUUGCUGUAGAAUUGCUUAGAGGUUUCAAGCGACUUCCUCUUCAUGCCAUUAAUGGAAAUGUACGGCUCAUUGUUAGUUGUCCUCAAAGUGAUACAAGCAAGAAUCCAUUAACAUUAUCCAUAAAUCUCCAUACAUACAACCAUUUAUCCAGUAACAGCAGUCCAUCCAGCAAUACCUGUCGACUAAGUGAAAAUCCAUACUAAUACUGUUCAACUCCAGGUGUCUGAACUGCAUCAACAGCCACAUCGCGUCUUCACUGCCCUGAACACAGACAAUCAGGUCAUUGUUCCUGCGGCGAGAACAUCAUUUUCACUAAUUCCAUCUGCAGUUGUACUCUUUGGAGUCACUGCUCAGAGAUCGUGACAACCACUGAGGGUCAGGACAAACUGCUGGAAUUAGACCUAAAGAGGCUGAACUCAUCCGCUCCAAGCAGAUGCUCAACCCUCCUCCCUGCAGGGGACAGACCUCGUCCACCAGCAGAGGGUCACAGCCUCAGACCUGCAGGUGCUGACCCUCAUUCUGACCACAUCACACCCAGCUGGGACCCACUGCAGCACACAGAUCACAGUCCAGCCAAGCCGGAGAGAUGCUGCAUCCGUCAACAAAUAACAGAG